UUGUCGGGUAAGUUCCGACCUGCACGAAUGGUGUAAUGAUCCGGACGCUGUCUCAACCGUGAGCUCAGUGAAAUUGUAGUAUCGGUGAAGAUGCCGAUUACCCGCGAUGGGACGAAAAGACCCCGUGAACCUUUACUACAGCUUAGCAUUGACCUUGGUCAUCGGAUGUGUAGGAUAGGCCGGAGGCAUUGAAUCAUGCGCGCCAGCGUGUGUGGAGCCAUCCUUGAAAUACGGCCCUUCUGCUGCCUGAGGUCUAACGCGCGCUGCGCGGACACUGCUUGGUGGGUAGUUUGACUGGGGUGGUCGCCUCCAAAAGCGUAACGGAGGCUUCCAAAGGUGCCCUCGGGCCGAUUGGUAACCGGCCUUAUAGAGUGCAAUGGCAUAAGGGCGCUUGACUGGGAGGCAGACAUGCCGAGCAGGCAGGAAACUGGGGCAUAGUGAUCCGGCGGAUCCGUAUGGAAGGUCCGUCGCUCAAAGGAUAAAAGGUACUCCGGGGAUAACAGGCUGAUCCCCCCCAAGAGCUCAUAUCGACGGGGUGGUUUGGCACCUCGAUGUCGGCUCGUCACAUCCUGGGGCUGGAGAAGGUCCCAAGGGUUGGGCUGUUCGCCCAUUA
rnacentral:ncRNA from 2 species